AGAGUGUAACUGGACAGCAUGAAGAGGGUCGAUUAAAUUCUGCAGCACAAAUGAACACAUUACCAGUCAAGGAGUUGUACAGAAUCCAUCUCCGUAAAAAGAUUAAAAAAACGGAUAAGGAAAUGGUGUACUUGGACCGCCAGAUCCAAAAGGCAGAUCUGGAAAUCGAGUUACUUAAAUACAAGUUAGAGAAUAUAAGAAAGACAAAAUAAAAUGUGUGACAUUGUGGUUGUGCUUUUAUUGAGUUAACCUAAAAAAUGGUUAUUACAUAUGAGAUCC